rnacentral:rRNA from 1 species
UGGGGAAUUUUGGACAAUGGGCGAAAGCCUGAUCCAGCAAUGCCGCGUGUGUGAAGAAGGCCUUCGGGUUGUAAAGCACUUUUGUCCGGAAAGAAAUCCUUGGCUCUAAUACAGUCGGGGGAUGACGGUACCGGAAGAAUAAGCACCGGCUAACUACGUGCCAGCAGCCGCGGUAAUACGUAGGGUGCAAGCGUUAAUCGGAAUUACUGGGCGUAAAGCGUGCGCAGGCGGUUUGCUAAGACCGAUGUGAAAUCCCCGGGCUCAACCUGGGAACUGCAUUGGUGACUGGCAGGCUAGAGUAUGGCAGAGGGGGGUAGAAUUCCACGUGUAGCAGUGAAAUGCGUAGAGAUGUGGAGGAAUACCGAUGGCGAAGGCAGCCCCCUGGGCCAAUACUGACGCUCAUGCACGAAAGCGUGGGGAGCAAACAGGAUUAGAUACCCUGGUAGUCCACGCCCUAAACGAUGUCAACUAGUUGUUGGGAUUCAUUCCUUAGUAACGUAGCUAACGCGUGAAGUUGACCGCCUGGGGAGUACGGUCGCAAGAUU